rnacentral:misc_RNA from 1 species
GUGAGUCAUCGAAUCUUUGAACGCACAUUGCGCCCGCCAGUAUUCUGGCGGGCAUGCCUGUCUGAGCGUCAUUUCAACCCUCAUGCCCCAGCGGUGUGGUGUUGGGGAUCGGCCCGCCCGGGCCGUCCCCUAAAUCUAUUGGCGGACUCGCUGUAGCCUCACUCUGCGUAGUAGUGAUAUUUCGCAUUGGAGAGCGGCGAGCCCCUGCCGUAAAACCCCAACUUCUCAGGUUGACCUCAGAUCAGGUAGGAAUACCCGCUGAACUUAAGCAUAUCAAUAAGCGGAGGA